rnacentral:lncRNA from 1 species
GUGAUGGAGACAGACAGAGAGAUGAAGACAGAGGUGGAGACAGAGAGAGUGAUGGAGACAGACAGAGAGAUGAAGACAGAGGUGGAGACAGAGAGAUGAAGACAGAGAUGAAGAGAGAGGCAGAGAGAGACGGAUGAAGAGAGAGGCGGAGACAGAGAGAGAGACAGAUACAGAGACAGAGAUAAAGAGAGAGGCAGAGACAGAGAUGAAGACAGAGAUAAAGAGAGAGGCGGAGACAGAGAGAGAGGCGGAGACAGAGAGAGAGGCGGAGACAGAGAGAGGCGGAGACAGAGAUAAAGACAGAGACAGAGAUAAAGAGAGAGGCAGAGACAGAGAUGAAGACAGAGACAGAGAUGAAGAGAGAGAUAAAGAGAGAGGCGGAGACAGAGACAGAGAUAAAGACAGAGACAGAGAUAAAGACAGAGAUAAAGAGAGAGGCAGAGACAGAGAUGAAGACAGAGACAGAGAUGAAGAGAGAGACAGAGAUGAAGACAGAGAUGAAGAGAGAGACAGAGAUGAAGAGAGAGACAGAGAUGAAGAGAGCGACAGAGAUGAAGAGAGAGGCGGAGACAGAGGCCCAGGUGAAAUAGGUGAAUUCUAUCAUCCAGGGUUUAGGCCCACAGAACUCUUCUAAAACAGGAAUGGCCUAAGAGAGCUACUGGGUGAGCAGCAGGCUUUUGCUCCAGCCCUACACUUUUUUUACACUAGUCAACCAUUGGUCGUACAAUCAAAACUCCUAAGCAGGCAGCCAACAAAUGUAGCCGUGUAGAAAGGGUCUUUCACACACCAGAUUCAGCCAAUCAAGUUCCUGGGUAGCAGGUGAUUAGUAGAAUCAGGUGUGUUUACAGUAUGUUUGGAGCAGCUAAACCAUGUAACCAGGAGAGGAUGAUGAAGGAGGAAGAGGAUGAAUCUAAGGUUCCAGCGGUAGAAAGAGACGAUGCUUUCGAACCCUCACAGAAAUCAGGGAAGGAACAGUAUAAAAACAGUAUAAAUGAUCUACUUAACUAAAGCACACAUUGUUAUAUCAAUCAAACCGUAUGAUAUUACAUAACCAUUCUUUCUGCUCUUGAUUCUUAUGACGACGAGUGCAAACAAAUAAUAUAGGAAACGUGUAAAUAAGAAAUGGUAGCCCCACGUUUUGUUAGCCUGGACACCAGUCUGUUCCUGCUGUCUUGUCAACUCCUUAUGGAAUUGUCAUGUUUGGCGUCAGAAUGAGUGAUAAAGAGUUGGCAAGACAGCACAAAUAGAUCUGGAAACCAGGCUAGCGUUUUGUUGCACAGAGGAGAAAAGAAGCGUGAAAUGGUUUGUUGUAAUCUAACAUAACGUGUGUGUGUAAAGAUACCUUAUUUAUUGACCCUUUGGAUACGUAUUUUCCAGUGCUCAAGGCCUGACUGAGGGACAGUUUUGUAUGUAGAGAAUUGCGAUGACAGAAUGAAUGAAAGCGAUUUCCCCUUUUUUACUUCUUAUGAAUUUUUAUGUCGCCUGAUCAGUUUUUGCAGCUAUAGAGUCAUUUAUAUACGUUAUACAGGACUGUACAUCACAUGUUUGUAAUGUUCCAAGAGGCUUAAGUCUGGAUCGUUAAAUACAACUGUACACCCUCCCCUAUUGAUAAACUAUUUCUAUUGCAUUGCGCAUUAUCGUGUGUGCCAAAUAUCAUGAGGGAUAAGCAGACCACUUGGUUGUUUAUGUUGUGCUUUCUAUACCGUUAUAAAUGUAGACAUUUUGUUCUUCUUCGGUUGUUGCCAUUGUUCAGGGCUAUUUCUUACCACUGAAUUACCAACGCAUGCAUGGCAGAAAUGGGUGGAUGCAUGGCAGAAAUGGGUUGAUGCAUGGCAGAAAUGGGUUGAUGCAUGGCAGAAAUGGAUUGAUGCAUGGCAACGUUCUAAAGAUGAUCUUAGUGUAUUCUGGAACACCUGGUACCCAGCUUUGAACGACUAACCUCCAGAACCAUCUUAAUACUACAUACCUUGUACUGUACUGUACUGUACUAUGAUCUUACUGAUUUGUACUGUAGCCUAAUAUCUUGUAAUAAAGAUUCUGAAGAAGAUAAUUAAGAA